UUUUUUUUUUUUUUUGUAAAAUUCAUAUUUUAAAUUUAUAAACCUAACUAUGAAUUUUGAAUUAGACAUUUCCUUAAUAAAAUCAUAUAUUUUGUUUAAUACAUUUUUAUAAUUCACUGUUUUUAAAAAAAAUACAAAACCAUAAGUAAUAUUAUUAAUAACAAAUAAGGAUUACAAAACUUAUAGUUUUUAUUUAAUUUUAACCAAUAAUAAUGAGUAUUCAAAAGAAGAAGUUCUUAAGUAUGUUUUUACUAAAUUACAGUUAACAAACCAAUUUAAAUUACAGCUAGCAAACCAAUUUAUAGAGUUAUCAAUUCAAGUGUUUUGAGUUUAGAUUCAUCUUAUUUAUAGUUAGAACUCGGAUCACUAACCCUAAGGAAUGAAGGUACAUUGGUUCAGGAAAUAUGUAUAUUUGAGAUUCAAUUACUUAGUCUUAUCUUUGCAAUAAUUUUUAUUUAUUUAUCACAUUUAUAUUAUUUUAUAUAAUAGUUGUUUUUGAUAAAAUCUUUUAUUAUAAUUUUAAACUUGUUACUAUAAUAGAGAUUAUAAUAAUAAGACACAAGUCUUUUACAAUUUUAAUUUAUAUUAUUUUUCAGGGAUAGAAUAGUUAUAAAAAGAAUCUGAAAAAUAAGUAAAUAUAUUUGUAAUAGUAUUCCUUGGACGAAGAUUAAUCGAUCUUCUUUAUUAAUUUACAUAUGUAGAUUAUAAACAUAUGGAUGAAUCAAAUGGGAUUCUCUAAUGAUUAGUAUUAUCUUAUAAUAUCAAUAAAAAAAUUCUUAACAUAUAUAUAAUUGGAAAGACAUCAUUUCAGAAUUAUCUAUUACUGUUUAUGUUUUACAUGAUUAAAUGUAGAGAUCGAAAAUUCAAUUCUCUCUUAACUGUCCAUUUUAAAAUCACAAACAUUCAUUUUUUAUUUCAACAAUUUUUUAAAAUUGAAUUCAUACACGCGAAUUACUAAAUACAGGACUAUUAUAGGACUAAUAUAUCAAUUACAUUUUUAAAGAGUAUCCAGGAGUUAAAGAAGUUAAGACAAAAUACCAAAUUAAAGUAGAUCAAUUUUCUUUCAUUCCCGAAGAAGUGUAUAUUUUACCAUAAUUUUUGUAUAAUACUAAUCAAUAGGAUCUCAUUGUUAAGUGCUACAAGAUAUAGUACAUUUGAACCCAUCGUUGUGGAUCUGAAUCAUAUGCAAACUUAAAGUUUAUGGUUGAUCGAUAUUGCACACCAUCAUUUGGCUAUUACAUUUAUUUUUCUAGUUGUUGGCUAUAUGUAUAGAACUAACUUGGGGAUUGGUCACAGGAUAAAGAUCUUUUAGAAGCACAUGCUUUCCUCCGAAAGGUAGAUUGACAUGAAUUUAGAAUACUCUGCUUGACUAUAUAAAUCAUUUGAAAAAUAAACGUAUUCGUGUUCUGUAGCCGAUCUAUUACAAGAUCAAUUUGGAUUAGUCCCGAAAGGAAGAACGUGAAAUUCUUUUUCCUUUCUACAAGAUUAGGAGAUUGGAUCUAGCCAUAAGAAGUUAAAUCUUUAUGGAUUAAUGAUUAUUCAAAAAGAUAUUUAUUAACUAUAAUGAUUUUGAAUUUGAUAAUAAAAUCAAAACCUUGAUGAAAGAUAAAAAAUGUUUUUAUACCAAAGUUUAACAUUUAUACCAUACUUUAGAGUUAAUUGAGAAUGCUAAAGGAUGCUAAAAAAUAUCAUAUUAUUUUUCUAAUGAUUCUUGAAAGUAGAAUUAUGUUACAUCAUACUAUUGUGACAUAGAGAAAUAUUGUUAGAUGUCUCCCUUCUUUUAUCACACACCAACAAAUGUUCUAAUAUUUUGAAAAAUAAUAAUAAUUGAUUAUUUAAUUAGAGAAAUAUAACGUGGGAUCAAAUUAAGGAUUAACAAUUAUAAAAUUUAUUAUGAUUCUCUGAUUCUAAUGAAAAUUAAUUUCCUCCAAAAACAUUAUUAUAGAUGUAAAUUAAGGAUUAAAUUCUUGAUACACAAUUAUCACUCUUUCCUAUUGUUAAAGAGAAUAUGAGUACCGAAAUAUUGUAAAAGAUUAUUUCUAUUUUUAUUUCAUAUAUAAAAAACAGUUGAUAACAAAAAAUAGUUUUAAUGUAGACAAAAGUAAAAUCUUCACAUUAUUAAAAAAAAUUACUUCAAAAGCUGAUCAACAAUUAUAUAUCCAUAUAUGUUGUCUAUAAACAUAUUUUUUACAACAGAAUUUAAAUAUAAAAUAUAGAUCUUAUUUUGGGCUAUGUUAUGAACACUAUUUUAUCAUCACUCCACUUACCACAUUUGUUAGAGUGCAAUUUUUGCCUACUCCCCAAGCAAAAACAACUUUGUUUAGUACAUAUACAUCUACAUCUUUAAUCUAACAUGGAAACAAAACUGUAUUCUUCCAGAUAUCAGGAAAGUGAUUUAUCAACUUCUACUUGCUUCGUUGUAAUGCCAUGGAACUGUGAAGCCCUAAUAGGUUCUUCCUGAAACAAAAUCACAUCUCAUGAAUAUACUUGGCACUGCAAACUAAAGUGCAAAUAUAACUGAAUCAUUUAAGUGCAUACUGUAGCUUCUACACUAUCUUGAAGGUCAAAACACCCUUGUGCAGUUGGCAUUCUGAAAGUGAGUUGUCCUUGAAGCUGUGAAAACAAACCAGCAGAAGCUAAAUUAUGUUGGAUUAAAUUUUUUGAGCCAUAUAGUUUCAAAAUGUAAGCCAUAACUUACUACCGGUCUUUGUAUACUGUGCUGCAUCCCAUAAUGCGGACCAUGGCUUGCCAUGGAAUGCAAUUGCCCCUGAGAUUGAAACAAAAUAUGAGAUUCUUAAACAUCUCUCAUGAAAAGAGGCUAGGAGAAAGUCCAUGCGCCCUACCAGCCCUAAAACGCCCGGUUGACCGCUAUAAUAGCCAUCAUGCAUGAUAGAGACUGAGUUCAACUGCGCCUUUGAAAAGUAUAAGCAGUUAAUUUAUACACUAUCAAACUACAAAAAAAGUACAGAUAAGACAAGAUAAUACAUCUCCAACCACACUCUGUUCAGUCCCAUAAUAGGCAUCAAGGGUCGAAGCUCUAGAAUCCAAGUCCUGUGAGAACAAAAAAUUAUCUUAAGUACCCAAAGAAUAAAAUAGAAAUUAAAAGGAGAAUGAACAUUUACGAAAACUGCUAGUGUUAAAGUACUAUCUUUAGAUACUUUAUGGACAAUCGUGGGCAGAGAAAUAUCCCGCACCACAGUUUGCAUACCUGCUGAGAAAUGUAACAAUUACUGAAGUUGUGCGCUCUUGUAAUUCUCUGUUCCUGCACAUAAAGAUAACACUGAUGAUCCUACAAAGUAUGAGCAAUAGAAGAGUUCUAAGCUUUAAGUAAUAAAUGGGCAAACCCUCUUUCGGAAAUCAUCCAUCAUCUUGAUAUUGAUUCUUUCUGGAUCAGAGCAUUCCUGUAAUAUACAAAAUCUGUUUAAGAAGGCCCACCACUUACUACAAGUCAAAACAAGUUAUAGCAGCACCGUAAGAGUUGAUCAUCAACUAACCCUUUGAUUGAAUUUCCUUUUCUUAGUAGGUUUUGCCCUGUGGCAGCCAUUAUUUUUAUCUUCAACAUCAAAAGCAUUAAGAGCCAACUUGUUGGGAUCUGAAGUGCUUCUAGAAGAAUAUUUUAUGUUCACACAGUGUUUAUACACUUCUUCCAUGGCCUGAGAUGCAACACGGUAAGUAUCUUCAGAUGAAGAUCCAAUUUCACUUAAUACAGUUGCCCGCCUACAAAGGUCAUUAAAACGUUGAACUCGAUUAGCAGUCCUGGUAAUUAUGUCACCAGAAAAUUGAUUGGCCUUUGCAUCUUUCGUCCAUCGUUUUAAAAUAUAAUGGGAUGGAAUGCUGGUUAUGCCGGACUUCUGAAGGACAAGCAUUGUAUGUCUACACAGAAAACCUUUGGAUUGAAAUAAACAACAUGAACAACAGACACACAAAUCUGCUUCCUUCCAAGAAACGAUAAAUUUCUUCUGCUUCUCAAAAUCAUCAAUAAGAAAUGUUAGAUUUUCCCUUCCUUCUGUUUCUUUCUGGAGAUGACAAGACAUUAUUCCCAAUAUUUCCAACUGAAAUUUUCUAAAUAUGGCAUCUGUAUAAAUUGUAGAUAGCUGCUUCUCAAAAGGUGAUAAAGAUCUUAAUGUAGGUUGCUUUUGUUUUGUUUCAAUGUCAGCUUUGGCUUCAAUGUCAAAACAGUCUACAGAGAAAACUUUAUACUGUUCAAUAAAUUCCUUAAAGGAAGAAUCAACACAAAUAUACUUGUCAAAGAAAGAUGAUACACUCUCAGACCUUACAAUUGUUGACAAUCCAGCAAAAGAAAUGUCCCGCAUGAGUGUGGGCACCCACUUUUUACGAUCUUCAUACAAUGACUGAACCCAUUCGUCAUCCUUUAGUUCAAUUCUAUUCAUCAAUUUCCACCAUCUCUCUUCAAAUUGCUCAUCUGAGCAGGAGUGAUGAAUGCAUUUGUCAAAUUUUUCCAUGAAAUUAUUAUUUUGAUUUAUGAUAUAAUCCAAAUUCUUGGUUAUUUUACAUAAAACGUGUGAUAGACAGAAACAGUGACAUUUAUCUGGAAACACUUCCUUAACAGCUUCUUUCAAGAAUUGCUCCUGGUCUGUGAUAAUCACCUUGGGAGGUAGGUUACUCAUUGCCUUGAGCCAUGCUCGCAUUAACCACAUAAAAGCGGAAACAGACUCUUCCCCAACCAGUGCACAUCCAAGUAAAAUGUACUGGAAGUGAUUGUUCACUCCGACGAAAGGAACAAAAGGAAUUUUAUAUUUGUUUUUCAGGUAAAAAGUGUCAAUCAACACAAUAUCAUGAAAGUUUGGAUAAUCAAAUCUUCCUUUUGAGUCAACCCAAAAUACAGUUCUCAAAUGUCUAUCCUGAUCCAGGUCUAUUGCAUAGAAGAAGUUCGGAUUUUCACACUGCAUAGAAAUAAAGUAUUCGAUGAUCAACUGUACAUCUCCCUCAUCUAGAGCAAAUUGCAUGCCCUUCUUAUGACAAGCUACAUUACUUAUUUGUUUGCUACGUCCCCUGACAAAAUCAUCCGGACAGAUCUCAUGAUUGUGCUCUUUUACAAAAUUGUAUAUAAUCCAGUUACCAUCAAGCUUCUUCUUCAUAUGCAUUCCAGCCUUACAGUCUGUCUUUGUACAUGGUCGUGGAUUAACCGCUGUACCGGACUCACGCUUACUUCCAAAUCUAGAACAAACAAUUUUAAUAUCAAUAAAUUUACCAGACUUUUUUGAGCGCCGACUGGCUUUUAUUGUGAUGCCAAAUCCCACUAAGCGGGCAUAUUCUCUGUAGAAAGAAUAGGCAGCCUCCUUUGAUUCAAAUUCCAAGCCAUUUUGUGGUUCUUUAAUGGGAAAUUUAUCAAUAGCAUCCACUUGAUUAGAAUUCAAAUCCACUGGAUCCUGACAGCAGAAAGCUUUUUCACUUAAAACUUCCUUACAGUGUGCAGUCAUUGACAAAGGAUUGAUGUUAUGCUCCUCAAUACAUAAAUCACAUGUUGUAUCUGUAACAUCAUUUCCACUAGAUCCAAUAUUAAGCUUCUCAUGCUCACAUAUAGGUACCUCAAGAUCAAUAUCCAUGGAGGAGAACAUAUCAAAAGGAGAAGGAACUUGUAUCACAGUAUCUGAAAUGGAGCGAAUAUAAAUGAGCAACCAGAAUCUUAUAAAGGCAAAAUACUAGUACAAUCCAAUGUGUAAGUAAUAAGGGCAUAAAAACAAAAAAACAUUUGGAAUUAUCAUAUUUAACACACAAUGAAGAAAACAGAAGCAAAUAAAUCUUCAGAAUAUGUACAAUUUCAAGAUUCUGCAGUGAACGGAAUAAUAUUUAAAUGGCUUAAUUACCUUUUUAAUUCCUAUAUCAAGGGCCAAAAAUCAAUUUCAACCCCCACAUUUUAAAAAAGUUCAAUGUCGCCCAAUUUUGUGUGUGUACUGUACAAAUACAUGACAAAAUUAUAUACUAGCAAUACUUUAAAUCCGUCUUGUUCAGUCAACCUGCUCAAGCAAGAUCUCAACAAAGUUGAUAUGCACAUGGUAAAAAAACAACACACUAGAGAGUAAUCCCACAAACAUUAUCGAGUUUUAUAAAUUUAGAAAAAACUGUCUGACCGCUGCAUUCAUUCAUUUUGAUAGGGAAGAAAGAAAUACGAUAAUACGAAUUACUUGAAAAACUAAUAAAGAAUAAGCGACAUUGGGUAAGGUGGAGGGUUGAAAGGAUGAGUGGUGAAGUGGGUGAGCCAAAAUCUAAUACCCACUCAUCUCAAUUUGAAGAAACCAUAUAUUCAAAUUGAAUAAUAAAGCAGAUACGGUGGUCAAAGCAUAUGGUAAUGAAAAUAAGAGAAAGUGAAGGAAAUCGAAAUUGAAAGAAAGUAGAAACCUAAAGUGAGUUGUUGACGAAGGCGGCAUUGCUGAGAAGAUGAAGAAAGACAAAAUGAAGAAGAUGCUUUGCUUUCUCCCUUCACUCCACUGCAGGCUACACAACACAACCACGCAACCUUAGUUUUUGUUAUUAAACUAUAUAUAUAUAUAUAUAUAUAUAUAUAUAUGUGUGUGUGUGUGUUUNNNNNNNNNNNNNNNNNNNNNNNNNNNNNNNNNNNNNNNNNNNNNNNNNNNNNNNNNNNNNNNNNNNNNNNNNNNNNNNNNNNNNNNNNNNNNNNNNNNNAUAAGAAAAUGAUUAACUUUAUAGAUUUAGUUGAUUUUUUCUUAACUAAAAUUCAAAUUAUUUUUUUUCAUGUAAUGACAGAUGAUUGUUGUUACUUGAGGUGUCAGUUUAGCUGAGAUGUCAAGUUGGAUAGUGAUACCUAACACGAAAACGAAAACUUUAAUAAAAAGACAACUUGUUUACAUGAUCAUAUUUGAAUUUUUACCUCAAUAAUUACCUAAUAAAUAAUUUGGUGACAAAUAAUCCAAUUAAGUGAUAUUGUUAAGUAAAAUUCCAAUUCUAAUAAGAGAAUUACACAACUUAUGAUAUUAUGUAUAACUUUAUUAAUGUUAAAAAUGUAAAAUAAUUUCACCCAGAAUGUGUCUACAUUUAUACUAUUUAGAUGCUAAAGGAGAAAAAUUGUCCCAUAUUAACCAUGAGACUUAUAUUUUGCUUAAACUGGCUUAACAGAUGCCAUCAUUUUAGUCUCAGGAAGAGAAAAUUGUGUAGAUAUUAACCACAUCUACUCUUACAUGAAUCUUAAGGUGACGUGUGAGCAGGUCUGUUAAGUAUUGAAAUUAACAAAGACUAAAGUAAUGGACAAAAUACUCUCGUAACGACCAAAUUGACCAGCCAUAAUUCAAGACCAAAGUGACGUCAAAAUUUUCUUGUAUUACUAGUUUUAUUCACAACUAAAUGAGUUAAUGUUAACAUUUUGCAAACUACGAAAGGUGAAAAUGCACCUAAAAACUAGCGUAGGUGAAAAUCUUUCAUUACAUACUUCAAAGAUCUUGAUAAUAAACAGUCAUGUUUUAGCUACAACUGUGGCAAACCACCUUGUGCUUAUGCUACUAAUAAGCCACCUAUGCAUCAGCCAAGUUGCUUUGAAUAAGGUGGUUUGGAUAAAAAAAGAGAGGUUAAGCAGCUGCUAGCAGUCGAGUUGAGAGCAACCUUUUCAGGUUCUCACUCAACUUCCUACUUCAUCAGCUAAUAUGGCGAAGGCACAUCAUGUAGUGGGUGACCCUUCCGACUUCUUUCCAUUAUUUUGCUUGCAAGGGAUACUUGCUUGCCAACCACAAAAAUAAAUGCCUUUCCUACUCCCUUCGCCCCUCUGGCCGUUCUUCCAACACGCCGUACAUAUUCACUUGGAUCACGCGGGAAGUCAAAGAGUAUGACAUGAUCCACUCCUGCAAAGUCUAUUCCCCGUGAAGCCCUGUGACAAGUUACCAUAAUCACUUACCAGUGAAAAUUUACAUAACAAAACGUCAGAAAGGCAAAGAAAAAAUGAGUUAACACGGAUAAAUACCUGUCAGUGCAAACCAUAAACUGGGAGACUCCUUGUGACGGAGAACGUGUAAACUCUGCCAUGCUAGCAAGCCGUGAUUCUUGUGUCAUGGCAGCAUGGAAGGGUAGAACUUGCAUGCGAUUUCCUUUUCUAUCAAAUCGCUUUAAUGAGUUUUCAACUUUUCUGCAUGUUUCAAUCUGCAAUUUUUAUUUUAUGGAGAAUUACACCAAAAUAAAAGGACAAAUGCUGCAUGGAAAACGAAAAUUAUAAAAGAUAAGUCUCAAAAGUUAGAAUGUAAAGUACCUUGUUGCAGAACACAAUAGUUCUUGGAACAGGACUUUCCUCCACAAGCUGCACAAGUGCGGUUUUCUUGUUCAAAAAUGCUGUAUCAGGAGUUUUUUCUUGUUCAUCCUCUCCACUGCAAUCUACUAGAAUCUGAACAAAUGAGAAGAUAAUAAUCACAUCAAGAUACAUAGAAACUGAUGACUCAAAAUACUGGUAGUCUAGCAUAGAAAUCAGUUACAUAACAAAUAUUGAUUUGUAUUAUAGUUGUCUAGACUAGAAUAUAAUAUAGCACCAAAACAACCCAGCACCCUCAGAUAUAUAAUACAGUAUAUGAUACCACUUUUCUAAUUUGCUACUAGCAAUCGUGUUACCAACGCGAGAUUCAAAUAGUCAUAGCCAAGUUAAUUUUUGAACCACGGAUCACAAGUUGUAUCAAAUUGUAAGACUCAAAGACAGUGAAAAAUAACUUCAAGCAUAUCAUAUAAAUGGUACACAGCGUUCAAGGUAAUAAUUGUAAACUAGCAUUAGAUAAAACAACUUAACCAUAAGCCUCAUAUAACAGAGUUGAGUUAUAUCUGAGUUUGUUAAACUCCUAUUAUAGAAGAACGAAAAUUUUGGCUUUAUUAUGACUUUUCAAUUUCAUGAAAGAAAGGUAAAUAAAAUACUGGGAUAGUGUGAAUCUAUCCAUGAUACAAAAUUACACUGACUCAUUCAUAUAUUGUAAGAUUCAAAAUCAUUUGAGAUUCAUCGCAUAAUAUGAAUUGAUAGGUAGUCAACUAUAGCAAAUGGUAUCUUUCAAUUCAUGAAUAAUAAAAUUCUAAUAGCUAUGCACCACAGUACAAAGUAUAUGACGUGAACAUGCAAGUAGAAGAGGCCCAGACCAGUGGGCCCAAAAGGACUGCUAAACAGAAAAUAAAUUCAGAAUAUGUUUAUUACUAAGAGGAGAGGAAUAAUAAGUUCUAUAAUUUGCUUUCAGAUUUUGUUAUGCUGAGUUGGCAAUUUGUUAAAGUAGUUAAAUUGAAUUCUGUUAAAAUGAGCACAUUGCCUAUAUUGGCUAUAUAUAUCCUUGAUUUUCCUUGAUUGAGGUGCUGAAUACAAUACUGAUCCUCUUCCUUUAUCCUUUCUUGUGGAGGUAUCUCCAACCCAGAGAAUCUUUCCCCACCAGAGUGUGCGUGUAUGUGUGGUAGAGGAAUCUACUUACUCCAAGCACAAGUAUAAUGAGUUACUCUUAAUCUGAACCUUCUAUUUUAUUCUAGAUUAACUGCUCAAAUUAAGUAUUUAAAAUGCCAAUCUUGAUGCAAAUUUUGUUUUCCACUUCCUACUUUUAUCUUCUUGUUCAUAGUUAUGGAGACUAUUAUGGGAUGAUUAGUCACUGCUUUAUCAAGAUAGCCUUUUAAGUACUUAUUAUGAGCCAUUGAUCUAAAAUAAAAUAGAAGGUCCAAAUUAUAUAUAGCUACUAAGUAAAAUAUAAGUCAAUUUAAUAUCAGGUAGGAGACAAGAAGUAAUUAUGUUUCUCAUACUUAGUCCAUUGAAUUUUCCGUACUAAGUUAACAUAUUCUUAGAUAAGUCUUCUGAUAUUCCGUAAUGUUGUCAUCUAUCUAACAAAAUGAAAUAGAAAGAAAUGAAAGUUACAACUGAAACCUGACCUCCUCAAGGCGAGAACUUAUGCGAUGCAUACCAGGUCCCAUAAUCAUUUCGCAAUCGGGAAAAACUUCAACCAAUUUGGUGAAAACAUUUUUUGGUAAAGUUGCAGUCACAAAUAGAUACUGUGUGUCAACCGGUGAAGAACUGAUCAGGCGUUGAAGAGCCACUUCAAAGUCCUCAUCACCAAAGAGAAUAUCUACCUCAUCCAACACAGCACUGAAACAAAUUGUAGUCAAGAUAAAUUUCACAAUCAGUGUGGAUAGAUAAAAUAUCCUAAAUAGACGCGUAGAGGAAGGAAAGGGCAUGGAAGUCUGGUACUUCUUUUUUAUCAAUCUAACAGGAAAGUGUCACUAUCAAAAUAGAACUUAAAAGUCAGAUAUCCCAAUGGAUACAUAUUCACACCACAUCGAGUAACAUUCAUCCUAGGAAUUUGACUUCUAUGAAGUGAACACAAGUAUGAAGUGAUAGUACAAAUGUAUUUACUGUAGAUUUGGAUUACUGAACCACCUAACCCACUUUAAAUCAAUAGCAAAUACACAAUCACUUUCUCACUUUUCACUCCUCUUUCUAGUGUAGUAUCCAUAUCCUUAUUCAUGAUAUGAUAUGCAGUUUCAACAUCAAUUCCCACAGAUUGGUGCCAUAAUGACAGCAGAUCAAUCAACAGCAACAGAUAAAAUCUGAUGCGAUGUAAUCUUGAUCACCAAUUUUGUAGCACAUGUUAAACAACAAUUAAAAUUAUGUCCAUUUUCUUAUGCCAUACUACGCGAGUCAAAGACUAAAGAUAUGUCUCCAGCAACUAGACCAAGCAAUCCAAGAACCAACUUAGUACAAGUUACACAAGCAUAUUUCAUUGUUGUGCAUUGUGUGAAAAAAACUCUUAUUACUAGUGGAAAUUAGUUACACUGCCUGUUUGAUGAUAAAACAGAAAAUAAAUGUAAAAAUCCGUAAUGGUAGUAAGAUAUUCAAUCAAUAAGAGAGCAAGCUUUACCAUCUUAGAUUUGUUAACUGCAAGAAGCCUUCAUUCAUGAGGUACAAAAAACGGCCAGGCGUAGCUAUUAAGACAUCAACUCCCUGCUGUAAACUUUCCAGUUGAGUCCUUUGUCGAAAACCUCCCGUGACAACCAUAGAUUUGAAUGGAACCCCAGAUUUUGACAAGGAUCGACAAUUAUCUAAGACCUGCAAAGCAGGCAAUAGUGCAUUAGAUGGACAAUGGAGUUACACCACUCUCAAAGGGUCGAAAGAAGCAAAAUAAUAAGCUAGAUUGGGAAUGAGAAAAUAAGGAGGAUUUGACCUGAGAAGCUAACUCCGCAGUGGGUGCGAGUACAAGGACUCUAGGAGCUUGUGAAGAGGAUUGACUACGUCCUUCAAGUUCUUCUUGUCUAACACGCUGAAUGAUUGGUACAAGAUAAGCUAAUGUCUUUCCAGAACCACUUUGGUCAGCUAUGACACAAGUCUUUCCGCUGAGAACAGGAGCAAAAGCCAUGGCCUACACAUUCAAUACAACAAUCAAAUGACUCACUGCACUCGAACUUGUCAAUAAUAGCAUAAAGCCCAAAGUAAUAACAAAGGAUAUACGAGUGUGAGUGAGUGAUAGUAAGAAUUAAUGAAUGAAUGAAUGAAUAGGUACCUGCACAUGGGAAGGGCGCGUCAAGAAGAUUUUUUGGAGGGAUUGAAGGAUGUAGUCAGCGCACCCAACUUCUUUAAAUGACUUGAGACUGAAGAAGUUGGUGUCAGUGGUGGUUUUGGCUUGUGAGGGAAACCUGGGAAUGAUAUCCCAUCCUCCUCGUUCUCGUCCACCUGACCGAGACCGUGACUGAGAAGGUCUGCGUCUGGGGGCUGCGUGAUUCUCAUUGUAGUCCUCAUCAUCAUCGUUAUCGUCUUCUUCUUCUUCUUCGCGUCUUCGGUCCUUGCUUCUAUGAAGCACAGUCUUCGGUUUCUGAUCCUUGAGUCUUCCGAAAGCUGAGAAGGGAGAGUCGUUGUUGGUAGUGGGAGUGUGGCGAGUGCGAUUGGCGGCGGAGGAGGAGGAGGAGGAGGAGGCGGCGGAAGCGGAGAAAGAGAGAAGACGAGUGUGUGGAGGUAUGAGCGUGGCAGCAGAAGAAGGAUUGUGGAACAGAUUGGAGGGAGGAUUCAGAACAACAACUCUUCCAACCACCAUUUCUCUGCUCUUCUUCCUCUUUCUUCCUCACUCUCUAGAUAACCUUCUUUUCUCCAUUUUAUAAAUAUAUUUACAUAUUUUAUACAUACUUAUAAAAUAUAUCUUCAGAGAAGUUAAUUUUAUAAACAAAACACACUAUUUUCAAACAUCUCAACUUUUCAAUUUUAAAUAAAAUAAAAUAAUAAUUUUUAAAAAAUAUAUUUUAUUCUAAUAUAUAAAUUAACAGUGUUCUCGACUUACUUUAUCUAACCUAAUGUAAUUAAAUUAAUAUCUUUUUGAGAUAAAUUGAAGUUAUUGUUACUGGUCUUAUAAAAAAACUCAAUAACAUCAUGUUAACAUGUACUCUAAUUUAUUUUAAAAUAAAUGUAUUUAUUUUGUAAUAUGGUUAAAGAUGUUAAUUGUUUUUAUUUUUAAAGUUUAGAUUUAAUUUAAUUUCAUGUUUUUUUAAUUCUACCAUUUUCUUAUAAGCAAAAUUGACUCGCUCAAAUCAAUUACUUAAGCAAACUUAAUAAAAAUGUAGAUUUUCUUGGACACAUAGUUGACUCUUUCUUCUUGCACCUCCAUAUCCUCUUUUGUCGCCUCCAUAUGAAAAUACAUUUUUAUCUUUUUUUUGUCAUCCCCAACUAGUUUUCGGAUUAUAUAAUUCGAAAGUUAAAUAAGACUUCUGGAUUAUGUAAUCCACAAAAUAAUCAUGCAUAUAAAAAAAAGCUUCCGAAUUACAUAAUCUGAAAGCUAAUUGUAAAUUUGAAAAAUGACUUCUGAAUUACGUAAUCUGGAAUAUUAUAAAGGCCAUUUUUUGAAAAUUUGAAAAUUUUUGAAAGUGAAAGAAGAAGGUAUAGAGGUGCUAGAAGGAACAGUCCACAUAGCUUUAGAAGUCAUAGCUGGAACGAUGAAUUUAAUUACCCUACUGUUAGGUGCAAGUUUAAAUAUAUUUUUAAUUGCUUCUUCACCAUUGUUAACUACAACAUGUCAACAGAUAUUCAGUGUUGCAAUUUCAAAAGGCAGUAAAUUUUCGAUGGGCAAUCAGGUAAUACUUUUGAAGUAAAAGUGAAAAAUUCAGUUGUCAAUUUUAUGUAACAUAAUUAAUCUUAGAUAUGUUGGGAUAUCAACAGAAACAACGAUAAAAUUACUUAGCUUGGAUGAAUAAAACCGGUAUUUCAUAUAUCUUAGUUUUUUGGUUUCUUUAUUUUUUGGAACUAAAAAAUGUGAACACUAGGGAGGGCUCUACAAAUAAAGAAAUGAAGAGUUUGAAAGAAUACAGAAUAAAUCUUUAAAUAGGAAUCCUGAAUGUGCGACAUCCCAAUUUACACAAACAGAGGCAUGGUGGAUGAUCUGAAAUUCAGUUACAUUACAUGUAUUAGUAAUGAGUUUGACAAAAACAAGAAGUAGCUUAAGUAUGGAAGUGUUCUUAAAGCAGUCGGCAAAUCCACGUUCUUCCAAAAACUUUAUUAGACAAGGCAUCCAAGUCAGCCAUCAUGUGGUGAAACUAGGAUUAGCAUUGUGCAUUUGGCGACGAAGUUCUCCCAGGAAGUCCUGCUGUGACACACAAGAGGAAGAAGCACUCAGCUGGGUGCAUAACCUGAAACAAAAUGUGAUGCCAAGGUAAGGGAAAGUCAUUACCUGUUGAGGAUGUCUAAACUGCUGAUGAGUCCACACUGACGCCCCACUUGAAUACAUAACUGGCUUGUCUGAAAUCGUAAAGUAAAAGCCAGACUUCAUCCCAUGCUUAACAGUUCUUAUGCAGCACAAUUUAUUAUUGAUUGUAUUUAUCAACAGCAGUGAUAAAAUGGUAAAACAAGGGAUCCCAAUUCCCAAAAGCAACAUAGAAACAAAAAUAGUAAACGCCACUGUUUAAAGGAUGAUGCUUCAACUUGAAAUGCAUCAACAGGACAACAAAAUGUUAAUAAAAAUCAUAAACAAAAGACAGAAUUACCGAUACAGCGUGUGGUGGAGAUGUUCAGGAGAAGAAAAAACCCUUUAAGCACUGCUAACUAGUGUAUAAGGUAAGAAAACACUUUUUAGUUGCUUGAUUAUAACAAAACACUCAUAAGCAUCUCAUAGAUCACUCAUUUCAUAUCUAAUCAUCAAUUAGAAGACACAAGAUUUAUCCAAUUGGUAAUAAACAAUUUUUCAAUUAGAUGCUACAAAAUAAUAUGCAUAUUUAUUACAUGAGCAGGAUUUUGAGCUACUUUGGUUUAUAUGAUACAAGCAAUCAGUCCGAAUAAUUUCAUAUAUAUAGUUUCAGUGAUGACCUCAAUUUAAUACAUUGAGAACUUCUUAGACAUACAAAACAAGUUUCAGUUUCAUAGUCAUCAAAUACUAUAAACAAAGUUUGCAAGUGUUCAUAAAAUGGAAAAAAUAUAAUAUUUUAUGGUUGUGCACUAACCAGAUGAAUCUUUGGGAUUAUUGUAGGACUGCAUUGCAGCUGUCCAACCUGAAAACAUAAAUUUAUGAUCAACAAAGAUAACAGGCAAUGUUAACCACGGAUAUGGGCAAAACAUAAAGGGCUUGUAAGUAAUGAACAAACUCCAGCCUCACCCACCCAUCCCUUUCUCUUCACAAUCCAAUAAACUUAAUGUGUUGCGCAGAGCUGAAUGGUUAAAAUGCUGAGGACAAUAAAACCCUAAUGAAACAAAAGGCAUGCAACCAUGUAGACAUAGAACUAAAGGGAAAACACGCAUUCAUAAUAAGCAGAACAAAUUAGGAGAAUGUUGACAUUGCCUUAGACUUGACAAUUGAAAAUAAUUCGUUAUGGAAACAGAUAGACUGAACAUUGACCAAUGAAUAUUCUGUACAAAGGUAGUUACAUAAUAUAUAGAUUAAUCCAAGCUUUCCUUUUAUCAAUGUCACUGCUAUACUAUUCUUCCAACAAGUCUGCAACAAAAAGUCUCUACUAUGAUUGUGCAUUUUUGCCAUUGGUGCAUAUGUCUCUUGAUACUCAAUGCUAAAUUUUCGAGUAUACUUCAUAGUGUAGAUCUAUUUGCACCCAUCUGGACUUCUAUAUCAAGUUUUUCACAGUAUUCCAUGUUCUACUUUUGUUCAAUGCACACAUCUCUUCAUUGGUGACUCAAACCCAAUUUUCUUCCCAUCAAUGCUUCUUCUUUUGUUAGGAUUCCUAGAAUCUACAGAGGGGUUGAAACUACGGUAUUGCAAAUAAGAUUUUCUCAAGGCUAUUCCAUAGGUAAGCCGACUGAGUUGGGAUUUAAAGAUCCAAGGUAUUGGAUGCAAGACAAGAAGAAUCACUUCCUUCGAUAUGUACCCCAAGGCUAGACAAUUUGGUUUGAUGUGGAACUAGUUUAGGUUUCUGAUAAGCACCAAAUCACUAGGGAAACUUCCCUAAAAGUUGCUAUGAACCUAAGAUUGACUCAUAGUCUUAGGCACAAAAGAAUCUUUCUUGCAACCUAUAGUGAAAUUAAGAAGCAAAGUCAUCCUUGACAAAAGUUCUCCUAGUCUAACACAAGUUUUUUUUAAAAUAAUUAAUCAAGAUAAUAUUCUAAUUAGAUUUUCCCUUUAAAAGCCUACAAAAUAUCUCUAAUUGAGAUAAAAUAUCUAACAAUUAUCCUAAUUGAUAAAACAAACAAUAAAGAGAUCCCUAUCUAUUAGGAUCAAAACUACCAAUUAUGCAAAUAAAAAUAAUAAUGCUAAGGAUCUAAAAUCAAAGAUCUUGAUUUGCAAAUCUUAUUGAUAUUUGAUUUUCACAUCUUAUUGAUAUGAGGAAACAAAAUAAGCUAAAGUAGUUCAUGAUUUUAGUAAGAGAUACGGUAGUAAUCCUAAUAGUGGUCCACCUCAUUACUCCUUGCCUCGAUUUUCGACUAGGUCCUCCAGCGCAAGAUAAAUUGUCUAAAGUUGAACAAGAGGUUCCCUGCAACUGGGUUACCAUCUUCUCAGGUACUUGAAUUCAAAACAACCUUUUAGAUUUAUCCCCCACUACUUAAACUUCAUCACAAUUGUAACACAUGCCCUUUAGCUCUUCUUUCAGUCAUUCUUCCCCUUAUUACUAUGAUACUAUCUCCAUCUAGCUUAUUUAUGGGCUCCUCGUUAGUUCCUAACUUGUUUGAGUGGCGGUAAAAGAAGCACAAUUGAAGAAUUUUCCCAUAGAAUGUCAUGGUGUUAGCGCUGCUUUGCUUGCACAAUUCUAAUACUUUGACCAUAUUCAUCUCAAUGCCAAGCCUACCUAGUUUGCUGAAGUUCAAUAUCAAUCCUUAACUCUUCUAUCAAACUAGCAGUAAAAAGAUCCAGUUGUUGGUAAGGUCUAAGAUUGCAGGUAUAGGCUAGCAAGGAUUGAAUUGGACAUUGAUAAUCUUCUAGAGAACCCAAGUACUUCAAAUGGGUCAGUUCACCACGAAAUUUAUUACUGAAAGGUGCAAAUUGUAUAAGAUAACAUUGCUUGAAGUGAAUCCAAUCCAGUUCUGACUCCUCUUAUUUCAUCUAGUAAAACCAUAAUUGCACUUCUCCUAAGACAUGAAAUGCAUUCAAUCCCACCUUGUCUCCUUUAGCAAUUUGUUAAAAGUCAAUCGCAGUGUUACAACCAUCCUAAGGAUCUUUGGUGUCAUCAUAAGUGGGAAAUUCCAUUUUAGGCUAUCAUGGAACCAUGGAUCCCACGCUGUGAUUCAUUUCUAUUUUUGAACCUCUGAUAUGUCCUUAAUUACCAUUGUUUGUUUCUUCAAUAGCAUGUUGCCUAACAUACGGGUACUCCAUGAAGUCAUCUAACUUUGCUGCUAAAUUCCCUCUGUCAAUUAACAUAGCUCUAAUACAAAGUAGUUAUGAACAUUCAAUUAUGAUCGAGUCAUGGAUCUUGAUGCAGAAUCCUACUUGCAACCUAUGGUAAAAGUAGGGGAGCAAACAUAUCCGUGACUGAGUUACUCUAAACUAACACAACUUUUUCUGAAAAUAACUAGUGAUAAUAUUCCAGUUUCACAAUCAACUUUCAUUCUUUGACUUCAAUACUGUGUUCCUAUUGCUCCUAGAUGGAUGGUGAUUGUGUGUGUAAAAACUUUUACUUGUUAUUUAUCAUGUCAUGAAUUUCUUUAAUUUUGGAUUUUGUUUUAUCAUGACAUGAUAUACAUGUCUGCUCAGUAAAAGGAAAUUAGGAAACAUAGUAGUACAAUAGUAAGAAUAAUAACACAACAAAAAUUAUUCUCAACAGAGGUAGGAAAUUUGAUGACAAAAUGAAUGCCUUAAAUGAUAUGAAUGUGAUAAUUGAUCUGAGGACUAGUGUAUACAAGGGUCUGAAUUCUCUCCUAAUGACACUUCCUGGUUUUUGACAGACCUAAAGGCUGUGCCGACUCUCAGUUUUCUUGCAUACACAAUAUCCUCCUUACUCCCUCUAUCACCUCUUUUUACAUUAUUUCCUACUUCCUGUUGGCCUAACUGCUACUAGCAACCUUGCACUUAGUUAUUCACUAAAUUCUCCUGACUAUAAUUGCUCAACCUGCUUUUACUGAGGAUGAGUCUGAAACAAAUCAAUGGAAUGCAAACUAACAGUUCUGGACUCCAACAGGAAUAGGUGAACAUAAACCAGAUUAGAUAAAACUAAAAGAGGGCCUUAGGCAUCCCCAUUCCACCAACAAGCUCAUUGAAACCAAACCAUAUGUUUCAUAUGCCCCAAAAAUCUGCAGAUGUCAAACCGAUGCUUACUAAUUGAAAGCAAUUGUCAUUUGCCACGGACAGACUAACAGCAACGUUUCUAGUAAGAUUAUAAGAAAAUAUCAGAGUGAAAGAAUAUUCAGUUUCUCAAUAUAUGCAAGUUCUUCAAGCAAAGUUUGGGAUACACUUACGAUCAUUGAGAAGCUGGGAAGCUGCACUGCAACUACACCCUUCUAAAGUUAUGAAUCUUGAAUAGUGGUUUUCGUUAAGAAGAUUACUGCUACCAGCAUCUCCGUGAUCUGGAAUGUGAACACUUCUUGAAGAAGCAACUUGAUUCUUUUCUAACUCACUCCCAAUACUGUUUGUCCGAUCAAGACGAUCUACAUAAGUUAAUUAAAACCAAACAACUAGAAAUUAGAAACAAACCAACUAAAAUGGGGACUAACAGAAAAUGUGCCUAAAGCUUUUGCCAUUGCUCAGUUUGAAUUAUGCAAAUGAGAUUAGUGGUUUGUCAUUAAGGAAGGCCACUGAAAAAAAUAUUAUAUUUUUCUUUCCUUAAUUUUUGUUCUAGUCACUGUAAAUAGUAAGUACCUUAAUUGAGAACAUAGCACUAAAAUUAAAAAAGUAAAGUUCGGUAGCACCUUAAGUAAGUAUAGAGACUUCCUCUCAACUUCAACAAUUUAACCAUAUAUGUUUUGCAAACCAAUGGUAACUGACAGUUAUUCUCAUGUGAUAUUUCUUUUAAAUCCUCACCCAUAAGACAACGCCUGAAGGAUGAAGCCAACACUGGUGUCAUUAGUCCAUUGUCAACAGGGAGGGAUGUGUGGGGUGAUUCAGUUUAUAUUUGGCCUUUUCAAAAUUCAUUUCUAUCUAGCCUUUAGAUUUUUCAAGCAAAACAAUGUUUGAUUGACAAUAUUUUGAUAUACAGAAGAAAAUCAUUAGUGUUUGAUGUUAUUUUAUAAACACAAUAAAAUUAAGAGUUUAAAAGGAGUGAACAAGGCUUAAGCCUGCUCUUUUUCUUUGUAUAAACUCGUAUAACUUCAUGCAUAUGUAGGGUGAGCAAAGCUAACUUCAAUAUAUCGUGUUGUGUCUGACAUAUAUUCAUUUCCUCACCCUGCAGUCUGUCCCCAUUUCAAUGUCGCACCUUGUUGUUCAAACUUUGUCCAAUUUCCUCCUGAGAUUCAUUCCAUUACCAUACAACCAACCUAUUCCAUUUUUUAUAUCUUUUUUUCACAGAAUGACGAUGUGUGAGGGGUAAGGGGUGCAUGUAUGUGCGAAAAGGGGUAAAAUGUGUCAUUUUUAUUGUUAGCUUCCUCAAAAUGACUAGUUUUAUGCUUACACUUCCAUGAGCUGAAGAUGGAUAUGUUAGGGAAUAAAGUUGAAACUACAGGAUGGUAUUUGAAAUCAGGAAAAAUCCCAAACUAGGAACACUGGAUUUAACUUAAGUACUUCCCAUUUUAUAGACAAAAGAUAAACAGUAAAAGGGAAGUAAUUGAGCUAUAGCAAAUGAAAUUUGCAGCCCAAACAUGACGUGUGCAACUAAUAAGGAAGGGAUCGAGUUGAGGAGUAAAAUAAAGACGCAGACUAGUGGUCAUUGGGCAAAAAGGGACUAUAUCUAUACCUCUUUGACAUUACUAAAUACCCAUUUGGAAUUGCAGUAAUAAAUAAGACAAGGCAUGUGAUUGAGACAUCGAAAUAGAUAUAAAAGGAUCAAUUGAUUGGAAGAAAAACAGGAGUGAACUGACCAGAUGAUUUGCGCCUGUUGGAAGAACGGUUCCUGCAAAAGAAGGAAUGGGAAAUAUUAGGAAUUGAAAAGGAAAGUGGGUAACGUAAUUGAAGUAAUAAAUAAUAUAAUUAAUAAUAGAAAAUACCUCUGGUUGGGAGGAGCAUAGCGCUUGACGACUGGGGCGGUUUCCGUCGCCGGAACAGCCUGAAGAUUCUCCAGCAUCUUUCUCUAACUGCUUCUACUACUUCCUCGUCUUCCACAGAAGACAGAGAGAAAGAGAAAGAGAAGAGUUGAAUUAGAAUUCAAAGAGAGAGAAAGCACAUUCCUCUUACCAUAAACUUAUAUAUCGUCACUAAUUCAUAAUUAAGAUGUGCCUGGAUCGGGUAUUCGGGUCGACCCACGCCUAUGUUAAACAAUGCGAUUUAUCAACACGUGCGGAUGCUUAAUUGCUUCGUAAAUAAAUUUUAACUAAUCAAAAUUUCCAAAUAAGUUUAGAUAAUUUUAUGUUUAGAUCCAUUAUACAUAAAUAAUAGCAAAAUUUAAAGUCGAAUAAUGUGUUAAACAAUUUCACAUUAUCAUGAUAUUUUUGUUUUCAUGUUUAAUGGGUGAAGUGAUACUUUAUUAAGUACAUUAAUAUUAAAUUAUCACUUAAAAAUUGCAAACAAAUCCUUUCAUUUAUUUUUCAAUUCUUCUUUUUUUCUCUCUCAAUUAUUUUUUUCUAUAUCCCUUGUCUCUAAUUUUUUUUCUAUAAAUCUUAUUUUUUAUAAAAUCGGAUCAUACCUUUAUCGAGUUAAUGGUAUUUUUAAUUAAUUAUAUUUUUAAAUAGAAAAAAUUUAUGUGUAUUUUAAUUUUUGUUUCUUAAUCUGUUAUAAAUUUGUGUGAAAUUAGAUAAAAGUGAUUCUUUCAUAUUUGUUAAGGUUAUGUUUUUUUGGGAAUUAAUUGAUAAUUGGAAUUGAAACUAAAAUCUUUUUAUUAGAAAAACUGUACUGAUACAAUACAAGCAAUGUUAUUUAUAGCUGUUAAAAACAGAAUGAAUUAAAAACAUUCUGAUAACAGAAAUAUGGAAAUAUGUAGCUUUAAGUUUUGGGUAGUUAGAGUUAACAACCUAACUCUUCUAUUUAGCUUAUUUCAACACUCUUCCUUAAGCUAAAUUAGUUCUUCAAAUCUGUCUAGUCUAAGUGGUUUGGUGAAAAUAUCACUCACUUGCUCCUUGGUGUUGUAAUGCUUCACUUCUAACUUUUCUUUUCCAACUUGUUUCCUUAAGAAAUGGAACUGGAACUUGGUCUCUAUGGGUUUACUCCUCCCAUGUGAGAUUGGAUUCUUUGCAAGGUUGAUGGCUGAUUGGUUGUCCACACACAGUUGCACAGGCUUCACAUCAUCCAGCUUCAAAUCAUCAAGCACAAACUCAAGCCAAACACAUUCACAAGCUGCUUCUGCUGCAACUAAAUACUCUGCCUCACAAGAUGAGAGAGCAACUACAGUUUGCUUCUUAGAACACCAAGAAAUUGGUGCUUUCAGAUAUUUGAAAAAAUAUCCAUAGGUGCUCUUCCUUCCCACUUUAUCACCACACCAAUCUGAAUCACUCCAAGCCUCCAAACAGUCUUCAACUUCAUUCAAGUUUACUGGAAGUAAGCCAUACCCUGUUGUCUCCUUAAGAUACCUCAAUAUGUGCUUUGCUGCUGCCAUAUGAGGGGCUCUUGGAUUACACAUGAAUCUGCUUAUUAGUCCAACUGCAUAGCUUAUGUCAGGCCUGCUGUUGCAGAUGAACCUCAAACUUCCAACAAUCUGUUUAAACAAAGUACUAUCUACUGCAAUCUCCUCCAAGGCUUCUGUCAGCUUCAAUUUCCAGCAGCAGGCACCCUAGCUCCAUUGCAUUGAUUCAUAUUGAAUCUGUUGAGCACUUCAUUAAUGUACUUCCUUUGAUGUAGGAUAAUACCUUGAUCUGUGUAUACAAAUUCCAUUCCCAGAAAAUAGCUAAGCAUUCCCAAAUCUCUGUCAUUUCAAAAACAGCCUUCAAUCUAUUUUUGAAUUGCUCAAUCUCUAUCAUUAAACUCCAUGUGAUUAACAAAUCAUCCACAUAUAGACAUACAUAGAUUAAGCUUUGACUUUGUGACUCUCUUACAUACACUCCAUAUUCUACUGAACACUUUGUGAAGCCUAGCUUGAGCAAAAACGAAUCUAUCAGUUUAUUCCACACUUUAGGAGCUUGUUUGAGUCCAUAAAGUGUUUUCUUAAGUUUGAACACUUUGUGGCUGGCAUCCUUUGCUUCAAAACCUGGUGGCUGAGUCACAUAAACCUCCUCUUCUAAAAUUCCAUUCAAGAAUGCAGAUUUAACAUCCAUUUGAUAGAUUUUCCAGUUUCUAAAACUGGCCACAGCAAUCACCAAUCUGGCCACUAGUGCAUAGACUUCAAUGUAGUAUAUUCCAUGUUUCUACAGAAAACCCUUAGCAACUAAUCUUGCUUUAUGCUUGGCUAUGCUGCCAUCAGACUUGAGUUUUAUCUUGAAAACCCAUUUGACAUCAAUUGGUCUUUUUCCCUUUGGCAAAGCCACUAAUUCCCAGGUUUCAUUUCUCUCCAGUGAUUCCAGCUCUUCAAUCAUUGCACUCUUCCACUUUCUAUCAACUAUUGCCUCCUUCCAAGUGAUUGGCUCAAUGUCUGCCACAAAUGCUAAGUAAACCAACUCUCCUUCAUCAGUGAUCAAAUUAUCACUGUAAACUUCAUGACCUCUUAAUCUAGAAGAAGGAAAUCUUUGCCUUUGUGAUCUUCUAGAUUCUGGCUCAACUAUAUUUUCAUGUUCUUCAUCUUGCUGUUGUCCACUGUCUUCUAAAAAACAAUGAAUUUGUUUUACAGAUUUACUCCAAUUCCAUGAUGCAUUCUCAUCUACAACAACAUCUCUGCUGAUGAGAAUUUGCUGGUUUACUGGAUUGAACAACUUGUAAGCACCUGUUUGAUGAUAUCCAAUUAAGAUAAAAGCUUCACUCUUAUCUUCCAACUUCUUCCUCUUCUCAUCUGGAAUAUGCCUAUAGCACAAGGAACCAAAUAUUUUCAAAUGACUAACAGUUGGUUUAAGUCCAGACCAAACUGUUUCUGUACAGCUGCCUCCAAUUUUUUUUGUAAGACACCUAUUGAGAAUAUAGGCUGCAGUGGAGACAGCCUCUCCCCAAAAGCUAUGAGGCAGCCCCUUGCCUUUGAGCAUGCACCUUGCCAUAUCAAGCAAAGUUCUAUUUCUUCUCUCUGUAAUUCCAUUAUGUUGUGGAGUGUAAGGAGCUGUAACUUCAUGUUCAAUUCCUUUUGCAACACAAAAUUCUUCCAGCUCUUUGGAAUUGAAUUCUCCACCUCCAUCAGUUCUGAAAAUGGUUAAGGCAUAAUCUGAUUGCCUUUCAACCUUAGCACAAAAUUUUACAAAUCUUCCAAACACCUCACAUUUCUCCUUUAAUAGGUAAAUCCAUAUUUUUCUAGUAAAUUCAUCCACAAAAGUAAGAAAAUACCUAUUACCUCCAAGUGAAUUACUAUCAAGAGGGCCACAUACAUCUGAAUAUACAACCUCCAAAGGCUUCUUUACUCUUUGUAGUACUGAUUUCUUGAAAUUCUUUCUUGAUUGCUUCCCAAAUAGGCAACCUUCACAAGUCUUAUGAGAUAGGUUGAUUGGUGGCAACCCUGUGACCAUUUGUUUACUGCUCAGUUUGUUCAAACUCUUGAAAUUCAAAUGGCCAAAUCUGUAGUGCCACACCAUAUUUGUUUCCUCCUUAUCCCCAAUUGAAGAUAAGCAUUGUGCAGUUGAUGUAUUAAGGUUAGUAUUAAAAGUCCUAUUUUUAGACAAAUGUGCCUUAAGAACUAACCUUGAUUUCUGAUCAUAGAUCUUGAUAUAAUUAUGCUCCAUUGACAUUUUGAAUCCCUUUUCCAGUAGUUGGCCUAAGUUGAGAAGAUUAUUCUUCAUUGAUGGCAAAUAUAGGACAUCAUUCAUACAACCAACUCUUCCAUCUUUACAAGUGAAUCUGACCUUGCCAAUUCCUUCAGCAGAGAUCAUACUAUUAUCUGCAAAUCUCUCAUUGUUUUUGACAUUAGAAUCAAAAUCAAUAAUCCACUCCCGGUUGCCAGUCAUAUGAUUGGAACAACCUGUGUCUAAGUACCAACUUGAAGCAUCUUCAUCCUGAUUUGUAGUGGCCAUUGAUAACACUUGAUCUAAAUCAGAAUCUUCAUCUUCUUGAGCUAGAUGUGCCUCAUCUUUCUUGAAAUUUUUUCCAGUGUUGUUACUGUUAUCAGCUCCCCAACAUUCAACUGCAAAAUGACCAUACUUUCCACAAUUAUAACACUGCAGUUUUCUUUUAUCCUGGAAUUUCUUGGAUCCAUGAUCUUGACUCCCUCUACCAGCAGCCAAUUUCUGCUUCUGCACACUAUUUUGACUCUGGUUCUGAUUGCUUGAAGCAGGCCAGUCACUUGAUUGACCUUUUCUUCCUCUUCCUCUUCCUUUCUUUUUCCAGCCACUUCUUCCUUUGCCUCUACCAGCAAUUUGAGUCUGGAAAACUUGCUCUACUACCUUUUCUUUACAUUUUCUUGAAAGUAACCGUUGCUCAUGUGCUUCAAGAGAAUUUUGGAGUUCUUCUAGUGUCAUUUCAUCAAGAUCCUUGGAUUCUUCAAUUGCCACUACAAUGUGAUCAAAAGCAGGAGUCAAAGUUCUAAAAAUUUUCUUAACCACCUUUGAAUCAGGCAAGUGCUCAUCACAAUCUCGCAUGGAAUUUGCAAUUGCUUGGAUUUUACCAAAGUAAUCACACACUGAUUCUUGAUCAGUCAUGGGCAACAAUUCAAAUUGUCUUUAUGAGUGAUUGAAGCCUCACCUUCUUAACCCUACCAGUAUUUCCAUAGGUUUGUUCCAGUAUGUCCCAAAUAUGCUUGGCAGAUUCAGCUUUUGAGAUUUUCUGAAAAAUGGCAGCUGAGACACACUGAUGCAGUAACAUCCGUGCCUUGCAAUCAAUCCUUUUAUUUUCUUUUGAUUGCUUCUCAGACUUUUUCUUCUGCUCCUUUCUUUCAAGCUUGGUUGAAU
rnacentral:lncRNA from 1 species